UAAAAUGAGAGGAGAUGUUAAAACAGAGGGGUAGCAUACAACUAUAAAAUGGAGAGAAAAACACUUCUCUUUUAUUUCUCCUUCAAUUAUAGCAAAUAGCUGGCCAUAAAUGAUGACUAAUACUUGAAAGGGAAGCGAUGAAUUUCUCUUUCAUCCACCCUUUCCUCUUUCUUUGUGGAACCAAACAUACUAUUGAUAAAUGAAAUGCAAAUGGAGAACAGCAUUCCUACUAACAUUACCUCCAUUAAACCCUUCUUGUUUGUUACAAGGUACUUUGCUUUCCCGCAUUCAGACAAGUGAUUUAAGACUGCAUGAGCUUCCUUGAAUCCGCCAGAAAGUUCCUCGAACAUUCUCCACGUAAUUACACAUGAAGCUGUCCAGUGGCUUUCGGAUAAUGCUUGGACCAAUUGAAGAGCCUUUUCCUAGUUGUUUUUUUUUGGGCCCCUAGCCUACAACACUGAUUCUAGACCUCCAGACUCCCCUAUCAAGGGUCAUGUCCUCGGAAACCUGCAUUCUAGUCAUGUCCUGC
rnacentral:lncRNA from 1 species